AAAAAUAAUAUAUAAUAAUAAAAAUGCUGAAGAAAAAAAAUAUUUUUUAACAUAUUAUUAAAUAUUUUAUGAAGAGUUUUUUUAUAUUUUUCGUAUAUUUUAUAAUUGUUAGGAUCUUAAUAUUAUUUCAUUUAAUUAUAAAUAAAUAAAUAUAUAUUUAUAUAUAAUAAUAUAUAUUUUAACCAUAAGUAUAUAUUUACAUAUUAUUAUCUUGCUUUUACAAUUUUAUUAAUUAUUUUAUAAUAUAUUCACAUGAAAAAAGUUUUUUAGAAUUCAAUAAUUCAUACAAUAAUAAAAACAACUUUUUUACCAUUUUAUUUUCAGUACGUAUAAAUACUAUUUUUCAAAAUUGGAAAUAAAAAACAAAGGAAAACCACGAAAAAAUUAUUAUGUUAAUAAUUUAUUACCCAUUUAACAAUUUAUUGUACCCCAAUAUAGGCAUGUUAAGUAAAAUAAGUGGGGGUAUACAUAUAUAAUAUAUAAUGAUAUGUGCAUUCUUUUUUUGAAUACAUUUUUAUUAUAUCGUUUAUAUAUAUAUCAAAUGAACAUAAAAUUGAACUACAUAAAUAUGCCACUUUUUCGUGAAGUCAAAUCUCAUGUUAAAAAUGUAAUUAACAUAAUUUGUGGAAUAUUUACUUAAUUGGUUGCUUUAUAUAUAAUAUAUAUAUAUAUAUAUAUAUAUAUAUAUAAUAUCUAUGAACUAAUCUAUUAUAUUGAAUGAAUAGUAUACAUUAAGAAAUGAAAAAAUGUUAGAAAAAAUCUACAUCGGUUUUUUCUUCAUUUUA
rnacentral:sRNA from 1 species